GACAGAGGGGGCAAGCGUUGCUCGGAAUUACUGGGCGUAAAGGGCGCGUAGGCGGGAUGGCAAGUCGGUCGUGAAAUCCCUCGGCUCAACCGAGGAACGUCGAUCGAUACUGCUGUUCUUGAGGAUUGCAGAGGAGACUGGAAUUCCCGGAUGUAGCGGUGAAAUGUGUAGAGAUCGGGAGGAACGACCGGUGGCGAAGGCGGGUCUCUGGGCAAUUCCUGACGCUGAGGCGGCGAAAGCGUGGGGAGCAAACGGG
rnacentral:rRNA from 1 species